rnacentral:rRNA from 1 species
AUUGAACGCUAGCGGAAUGCUUUACACAUGCAAGUCGAACGGCAGCACGGAGAGCUUGCUCUCUGGUGGCGAGUGGCGAACGGGUGAGUAAUGUAUCGGAACAUACCCAGUAGCGGGGGAUAACUACUCGAAAGAGUGGCUAAUACCGCAUACGCCUACGGGGAAGGGGGAGUCUUAGACGUCUCACUAUUGGAGUGGCCGAUAUCGGAUUAGCUAGUUGGUGGGGUUAAAGGG